AAACGCUAGGGGUGGGGAGUAGUAGUAGUAGUAGUAGUAGUAGUAUGAGGAGGAGUAGGAGGAGUAGUAGUAGGAGGAGGAGGAGGAGGAGGAAGAGGAGUAGAAGUAGUAGUAGUAGUAGGAGUAGUAUUAGUAGGAGGAGGAGUAGAAGUAGUAGUAGUAUGAGGAGGAGUAGGAGUAGUAGUAGUAGGAGUAGUAGUAGGAGGAAGGAGAGGAGGAGGAGGAGGAAGAGGAGUAGAAGUAGUAGUAGUAGGAGUAGUAGUAGUAGUAGUAUGAGGAGGAGGAGGAAGAGGAGUAGAAGUAGUAGUAGUAGUAGUAUGAGGAGGAGUAGGAGGAGUAGUAGUAGGAGGAGGGGGAGGAGUAGAAGUAGUAGUAGUAAGAAGAGGAGGAGGAGGA
ensembl:lncRNA